AAUCAGUUUGGCGUAAGACGCAAAGGAGUAAGGGAAACGGUCGCGCGGCGGGAAUUCACUGAAGCCGAAGCCGGGAUAAUCGGGCGCGAUGAGGUGGUAC
rnacentral:misc_RNA from 1 species